AAUUUUGGACAAUGGGGGAAACCCUGAUCCAGCCAUCCCGCGUGUGUGAUGAAGGCCUUCGGGUUGUCCAGCACUUUUGACAGGGAAGAAAUAGCAGUGGCUAAUAUCCUCUGUGAAUGACGGUACCUGUAGAAUAAGUACCGGCUAACUACUUGUCAGCAGCCGCGGUAAUACGUAGGGUGCAAGCGUUAAUCGGAAUUACUGUGCGUAAAGGGUACGCAGGCGGCUAGGAAAGAAAGAUGUGAAAUCCCAGGGCUCAACCUUGGAACUGCAUUUUUAACUACCUAGCUAGAGUAUGUCAGAGGGGGGUAGAAUUCCACGUGUAGCAGUGAAAUGCGUAGAGAUGUGGAGGAAUACCGAUGGCGAAGGCGACUACCUGGACUGAUACUGACACUGAGGUGCGAAAGCGUGGGGAGCAAACA
rnacentral:rRNA from 1 species